AAUGGAUUAAGAGCUUGCUCUUAUGAAGUUAGCGGCGGACGGGUGAGUAACACGUGGGUAACCUACCCAUAAGACUGGGAUAACUCCGGGAAACCGGGGCUAAUACCGGAUAAUAUUUUGAACUGCAUAGUUCGAAAUUGAAAGGCGGCUUCGGCUGUCACUUAUGGAUGGACCCGCGUCGCAUUAGCUAGUUGGUGAGGUAACGGCUCACCAAGGCGACGAUGCGUAGCCGACCUGAGAGGGUGAUCGGCCACACUGGGACUGAGACACGGCCCAG
rnacentral:rRNA from 1 species